GGCGGGAGCGGCAGGGCAGCCCCUGCUUGGGGUAGCGGGAGGGCAGACUCUGGGCGCCACUCCCGGGCCGGUCAUGAACGGGCCGGCGGACGGCGAAGUGGACUACAAAAAAAAAUACCGGAAUCUGAAGCGGAAGCUCAAGUUCCUCAUCUACGAGCACGAGUGCUUCCAGGAGGAGCUGAGGAAAGCGCAAAGGAAAUUACUGAAGGUGUCCCGGGACAAGAGUUUCCUCCUAGACCGACUUCUGCAGUACGAGAACGUGGAUGAAGACUCUUCGGACUCAGAUGCCACUGCAUCAUCAGAUAACAGCGAGACAGAGGGGACACCCAAGUUGUCUGACACACCGGCCCCUAAGAGGAAGAGAAGCCCUCCGCUGGGGGGCACCCCCUCUCCCUCCAGCCUCUCCCUGCCUCCUUCAACAGGGUUUCCCCUUCAGGCCUCCGGGGUCCCCUCCCCAUACCUGAGCUCGGAACGGGGCCAGGCCUGACAGAGGAGAGCAAAGCCCAGGACAGCAUCCUGCUGCUGCCCGGCCCUUCUGUGCUCGGGAGCCCCGGGAGCCGCACUCAUCACCAUCUCUUUUGUUUUUCCAUCCUCCUUCUGUUUGCAUUUCUUCCCCCACCCUCACCCCGGUCCAUUCCACCUCCCAUCUCCAUCCCCGCUCCCGCCCGCAGCUGGCCUCCCCCCGCUACCCCCCAUUCCCUUCUGACUACCUGGCCCUGCAGCUGCCCGAGCCCAGUCCCCUGAGGCCCAAGCGGGAGAAACGGCCCCGCCUGCCCCGGAAACUCAAGGUACCCUGACGUGGGGGUGCUAGGGAGGGGCAGGACGGCAGGAGGACAGUCACCUGAGGGAGGCUGAAGGCGGGGGCCUGUCAGAGAACCAUGAACAGUUAAUUUGGGGACCCAGUCGGCACUUAGCACUGAGGGGUGGAUCACAGAAGUCUCGGCUUACAGGCUUGUAUGGAGACAAAUCAGGGCAGAACCAGCCUUGGGGGACCCGGUGUGCGGAUGCCAGGGAUCCCGCCCUUUCAUGGCUGCAGUGUAGCGGGGCCAGGCUCAUUUUCCCAGGGGGGCGUGUUCUGUGAUGCCAGGUAGCCCCAGACCGGGUCAGGAUUAUGGGAUCUAGAGUCAAGUCAAGACUGCGUGUUAGAAACCACGUGGCCUUGAGCAGGUCUCUGCUACCCUCUAGGCCUCCUAGGCUUGGCACCUAUAGGGUGAGUGGUCCUACUCGAUGUGACCAGCAAGCGCCCCUGGAGCGCCUCCUGUUACACGGCAGUGCACAAAGCAGACCAGUGCCUGCCCUCACAGAGCUCACAGUCUAGCAAGAUAGGCAGAAAACACACCAGAAAAGUAGGUACUUGUGGAAAAGAACAGAGUGAGGUCCAGAGCAUGGGGACGCCAGGGGGACGAGGCUGACACUUAGGGCCCAGCAGUCUGGGAUGUUCUUUGAUCAGAGACUUACAGGAAAUGGCAGCAAGCCGUGUGGCUCCUGGGCAGUGUUUCUGUCGGGCAGAGUCUGUGUUUGGGAGAAAAGUAAGCAGGGAAUUGGGUCCCGGAGCAGGUCAGAGGGGGAGCUCCUGAGGUGCCAGUGUGCAGGAUUCGCUGUGAAUGAAGCCUUGGAGACAGCAGUUCCCUGGCGGGGCGCAGGUUGCAGGUGUGGAGGGGGAGUGAUCUAAUUGCAUCUUAACAAAAUUGCAGACACUGGUGGUCAGAGAACAGAUUGAGCGGUGGAGUGAGUUGGGACGGGAGUGAGGAGGCCACCACGGUAAACCAGGCCAAGGGCAGAGGGUCCAGAGGGAGCUGCGGACCCAUUUCAGAGAAUGAGCAUGGGAGUUCCUGGAGGACCUGGUGUGGUCUGUGCGGGAGAGAGGCCAGGAUGCCUCCAGGGCUUUAGUCUGAGCACGAGUGGAGUCUCCCUCCCUGGAGAUGGGAGGGCUGUGGGACCACAGGCUUGGAGGAAAGCUGAGUCUGGCCGCGGAUGUGUCAGGUGCCAUCUGGAAAGGCAGCUAGAUAGCGGCCCGUGAGGGGCUGCGCAUUUGGAAGCCGCCAGGCUGGCGGUAGAUGCAAGCCUUGGGAGAGAUGGGGAUGGGCUGAGGGGCAGAGCGGAGUGGGGACCAACUGGGCGGCUCCCAGGGUUCUGGAGCCAGAAGCAGAAUGAGAGGCCGCAUUUGCGGUGGUCUGGAGUACAGGAUCUGGAGCUCUAAUCCCAACUCUGCCAUUUUCUCCGUGUGACCUUGGCCCUGUCAGGCUUCACCUCUUGAGCCUGAGAAGCAGAGGUGACAGUACUGGCCCUGGUUCUUAGCAGGGGGGUGGCGGGCAGGGUAGGGGGUGGCGCAGCACUGGGGGGCACUUUGAGGCUUUCUGGCUGGGUGCUGAGUCCUGAAGCAGAGUCAUGUCCGGGAGCAAAGUUGUAGACAUUCUGGAGAGAAGGUUUGAGAGGGUGGCCCAGGUCCAUGGCUGUCGGGGGAGGUGGGGAGAAGCCAGGAAAGGCCUCAGCAAGGAGAACGUGUGAGCCCAGGGUGAGUGGAUUUGGAUAUUCCUGGCUGAAGCCAUAGUGGGAAGGGAGACAGGGCCAUAGGGAAAGCACUGCCUGGGCCAGAGCAGGAGUGGUAAGAAAUUGGCAAGAAGAACUGGGUGGGGUGGGGUCAUGGAAGCCCUGGACAGUGGCCUGAAGUGGGAAUUUGUCUGUUACUGUCAGGGGAGCGGGAGUCCCUGAAGGGUCAGGGGAGUGAGGAGAUGGAAGGAAGGGAGUCCAAGCAGAGGAAGGAUAGCUGUGAAGACAGAAGCAGGUUGGUUCUGUCAGGCCUGAGUUGGACUUGGCCGGCUUUGAAUCCCAGCUCUUCCAGUGCUCACCAUGCGACCUCAGCGUUGUCAUUUCACUCUUUAAGCCACAGCUCUCUUUCUCCAUUCAGUGGCGGCAUUGUGCGGAGAAUGUGAGUGAAGGGAUGAAAAUCGCUCGGCCCGUGCCUGGCCCCUAGUAAGCCACAGAGAAAUGUGAGCCGCUGCCAGUCAGGCUGAGAGGACGCCACUGAGGAAGUCCAGGCCAGGGUGGGACAUGCUGCGCACAGUGGGGAAGGAGAGGAGGUGGCCAGAGAAGGGGAUGGUCCUUUCCAGUCAUACACGCAUGUCUGCUUCUGUGUGUACAUGUGGGGGCCUGGUGCAGGGCGUGGGGGUGCUGUUCAGAGUUGGACCCCCCGUCAUCCAUCCUGCCAGCCUCCUAUACCCUGAGGCCUGACCCACCCUGGCCCCCACACCACCCCAGCAGCGGAGAUGAGAGUGAGUGAGGGCUCCUUAGGAAGCAGAGAGGAGGCUACAGGGCCAAAUGUGACACUCAGAAGGGCCACUGGAGACCACGCAUGGCGUUUCCUGCCAGCCCACUCAGCAUCUAGCCCAGGGCCAGACUGGACACUGCCCCGCAGGACCCAGCAGGCCUAAGCCUCAGGACCUCCAUGUCCACACCAGGUUCAGCCUCCUCUGCUGGCAUGUGACUUCUCCCCGCUUCCCGCUCCCCAGUGUCCUGAGGCUGGGAGGGCAUUAACAGAAACCACCUGACACACAGCAGGUGCCCAGUUUGUGCCCACAGACAAAGCACGGGGACUGCAGAGGAGACCCACAGAGCUCUCUAGGGAGGGUUUGUGAGGACCUGGCAGCGGGGGGGAGCUGAAGGGUUGAGCAGGGCAGAGGCCACUUCCCACCCUCAGAGGACAAAGCAGGACUUCUGACAAAUAGAGCAGGAUGCCCAGGUGGAGGGGCUGCCUGUCGUCCCGCAGGCGGCACUCCCGCCCCGAGGCCCCGAGUGGCACGGUGACGCGCUCAGGUCUGUGUUUUAGAGCGCGCGCUCUGGCUGCCGUGCGGAGGAGCUGGAUCUGGGAGAGGCUGCGGGCAGGGAGUCCAGUUAGGAGGCUGGGACCGCAGCCCAGAUGGCGGUGGGACCCCCCGACUGCCCUGUGGGAGGGCCGCUGACCUUCCCUGGCCGGGGUUCUGGGGCUGGGGUCGGGACAACCCUGACCCCCCUCCCACCCCCCAAGAUGCCCCCCCCACGAUCCUGAGCACGGUCCCUCGGCAGAUGUUCAGCGAUGCAGGUAGCGGGGACGAUGCCUUGGAUGGAGACGAUGACCUGGUGAUCGACAUCCCGGAGUGACCGUGACAUCACGCCAUGCCCACCACGGCCCCGCCCGGCGCCCUCCCCGUGCCAGCACACACGAGUCCAGCUUCCUUGGAGGUGUUUAUUGAUGCCCAGCUGCCAUGCUCCGGCCACUGACACAACCAGAAAAGGCGUAAACAUGCACGGGUGUCCCCCAGGAGGGUGGCAGGGGCCCUGCCUUCAAACCCCGGCCCCCUCCAGGGGACAGUUAUUUAAACGAGUGGCCGGGAGCAUCUGCCACCUGCUGGGGAGGCAGAGACCCUGCAAUGGCCACCUCUUUAAAAGGGCAGCUGUACAGGGCUGUUUUUUCAAUGAAGUUUCUGUAUU
rnacentral:sRNA from 1 species